rnacentral:rRNA from 1 species
UGGGGAAUCUUGGGCAAUGGAGGAAACUCUGACCCAGCCACGCCGCGUGCAGGAAGACACCCCUACGGGGCGUAAACUGCUUUUAUACGGGAAGAAGGCACUCCUCGGGAGUGUUUGACGGUACCGUACGAAUAAGCACCGGCUAACUCCGUGCCAGCAGCCGCGGUAAUACGGAGGGUGCAAGCGUUGUCCGGAAUCACUGGGUGUAAAGGGUGUGUAGGUGGGAUUGUAAGUCAGAGGUGAAAGCCCACGGCCUAACCGUGGAACUGCCUUUGAUACUGCAAUUCUUGAGUCUCGGAGAGGUCACUAGAAUUCGUGGUGUAGCGGUGAAAUGCGUAGAUAUCACGAGGAAUACCAGAGGCGUAGGCGGGUGACUGGACGAGUACUGACACUGAGGCACGAAAGCGUGGGGAGCAAACAGGAUUAGAUACCCCCGUAGUCC